AGAGUUUGAUUAUGGCUCAGGAUGAACGCUGGCGGCGUGCCUAACACAUGCAAGUCGAACGGGGUUAUGACGCUGAGGAGACUUCGGUCAAAUCUUGUUGUAACUUAGUGGCGGACGGGUGAGUAACGCGUGGAUAACCUGCCAUACGACAGGGGGAUAACAGUUAGAAAUGACUGCUAAUACCGCAUAAGCGCACGAAGGGGCAUCCUUUAGUGUGAAAAGCGAAUACGGUGUAUGAUGGGUCCGCGUCCGAUUAGCCAGUUGGCGGGGUAAGAGCCCACCAAAGCGACGAUCGGUAGCCGGCCUGAGAGGGUGAACGGCCACAUUGGGACUGAGAGACGGCCCAAACUCCUACGGGAGGCAGCAGUGGGGGAUAUUGCACAAUGGGGGGAACCCUGAUGCAGCGAACCGCCGCGUGAGUGAAGAAGUUAUUCGUAAUGUAAAGCUCUAUCAGCAGGGAAGAAGCAGACGGUACCUGACUAAGAAGCACCGGCUAAAUACGUGCCAGCAGCAGC
rnacentral:rRNA from 1 species